rnacentral:rRNA from 1 species
GUGAGGAAUAUUGCGCAAUGGGCGAAAGCCUGACGCAGCGACGCCGCGUGGAGGACGAAGGUCUUCGGAUCGUAAACUCCUGUCGAGCGGGACGAAGCCGGGGCGGUGAAUAGCCGCUUCGGUUGACGGUACCGCUAAAGGAAGCCCCGGCUAACUCCGUGCCAGCAGCCGCGGUAAUACGGAGGGGGCCAGCGUUGUUCGGAAUCAUUGGGCGUAAAGGGCGCGUAGGCGGCUUGGUAAGUCCGUUGUGAAAUCCCUCGGCUCAACCGAGGAACUGCGACGGAUACUGCUUGGCUUGAGUCCCGGAGAGGGUAGCGGAAUUCCCAGUGUAGCGGUGAAAUGCGUAGAUAUUGGGAGGAACAUCGGUGGCGAAGGCGGCUACCUGGACGGGUACUGACGCUGAGGCGCGAAAGCUAGGGGAGCAAACAGGAUUAGAUACCCGGGUAGUCC